AGUAUCAAUAUAUGACCGUAACCCCUGGAGUAUCAAUAUAUGACCGUAACCCCUGGAGUAUCAAUAUAUGACCGUAACCCCUGGAGUAUCAAUAUAUGAUCGUAACCCCUGGAGUAUCAAUAUAUAACUGUAACCCCUGGAGUUUCGAUAUAUGACCGUAACCCCUGGAUUGCCAGAGUAAAUGGUGUCAUCACAUCAGAAGAUAGUGAAAAUCACUUGGUGUAGGUAUAUAUAUGAAUGAAAGAGAGAGAGAGAAAGACAGAGAGAGAGAGAUUUUGCGGACUGAUAGAAUGGUAAGCAGUGCAGGGGGCAGUUACAACGCACUAGAGACAUUUAAGCAAGAGUAAAUAAAUAUGUUCAUAUUUAACAAAUUAAAUACUUGGAAUGAUUUCCUAUCAUUGGCACCCAGUGUACAAAUUUCUUAUCAUUAAGAUACAAGUACGUGAUAUCUAUACAAGACAUAUAAUUAUCUGAUCAUUAAAAUUACAAAACUUAGUACAUGUAUGUAGAAUAUCAUGGCUGAAAAUUUAAGUAGUUUAACAAGUUUACAUGUGACUGAAUAUCCAGUAAAAAAUUUCUAAUGUAUCAAGUGAUAUGUACGAGUGGUAUGGUUUACCUGGCGAUUCAUUAUUACACAGUAUAGAUACUUUAGUAAGACAUUAUACCAAAGAAUUACGAGUGUGAUCAUUAACACUGGUACAACGCCAAACCAGUACUAAAACAGUGAAUAGUUACACAGAUAUUGUUAACAGCCAUGAUUGCGACUAUAGUUAUUUUGAAUCCAAAACAUAACCACCAUUAGGUCGAGCCAUUUUAUUGUCAAUGAAAUGAAAAAUUACCCUGGUUAUAAACAGAUUUGUUAAACACUUCCCCCUUAAGGCUAUUCUAGAAUUAUUUGUGUUGGAGGCACCUGUAUUAAAAUUUGAUGGAUGGUGGGGUUAAAGUCUCAUUUUUCUGGUAUUCCUUACACUCUUUGUUUUGAUAUUUGGGGGGUGAUGGUAUCUGAAAAGAUGCCUCCCACUACUCCAUCCUGGAUAAUUUUGAGACAGUCCUUACUGGCUUACUCAAACAGAGCAGUAGAGGUUAUAGUUCAGUGGAUUCUCUUCUUUUUAUCUUAUCAAGAUACAUGUAAAACAUGAAUUACACGUAAUUAAUGUCUUGUUUGUCCCACUUUUUCAGGAUGUAAGUUUUGAUAACCUCCACAUAAGAGUAUGGAACCACCCUGUAUACAUUAUAGAUAUUUGUAGUUAUUGAUGCAUUGCAAAACAAAACAAAUUUUGCAAGAUCGAUAAUUCUCAAUAUUCAUCUAAAUGUCAGUUAUACCCCAACUUACCCUUUCUGAAAUGUGAAAAGAAAAUUAAUCUGAUUUCUUACAGAAUCACCAGCUUGGUUAAAAACUUAUUUGUAAAUCAGUUUGAAAAGCAAUAUUAAAAGAUUUUUACAUCAAUUUCUCAAAACUUAAGGUUUUUAACACAAAAAUAUAGAAAAAAAAAAAUCAUGUAAUCUGUAGGAUGUGUUGAGAUGACCCUACUACAAUGCAAUUAUAUUCUGGGUUUGAUUGAAAUAACGUUGAUACGUUUUGAGAAACUGAGCUAAACACAAAAAAAAAAAAAAAUUCCAGACUCCUAGCAUCCCUAAUUUCCAGAGUCACUGGACCAUAAACUCUUGAUGAUAUUCCGUAAAUGAAGAGUGUGUUGAGAUGGCCACUUUGUGAUAACACACACCAAGUUAAGUGUAUGUUGGACUUAUACUUAUGAGCAAUGGAUCUAAACUGAAAUCUUUAAAGUAAAAGACGCCGGUGCC